AGCAGCCGCGGUAAUUCCAGCUCCAAUAGCGUAUAUUAAAGUUGUUGCAGUUAAAAAGCUCGUAGUUGAAUUUCGGGAUUAGUACGUUGGUCGUGCCUUCGGUACGUACUGGUGUUACUGAUUCCUACCUUCUGACGAACCAUCAUGUCAUUAAUUUGGUGUGGCGGGGAAUCAGGACUGUUACUUUGAAAAAAUUAGAGUGUUUAAAGCAGGCUCGCGCUUGAAUACAUUAGCAUGGAAUAAUGAAAUAGGACGUUGAUCCUAUUUUGUUGGUUUCUAGGAUUGACGUAAUGAUUAAUAGGGAUAGUUGGGGGCAUUAGUAUUCAAUUGUCAGAGGUGAAAUUCUUGGAUUUAUUGAAGACUAACUACUGCGAAGGCAUUUGCCAAGGAUGUUUUCAUUAAUCAAGAACGAAAGUUAGGGGAUCGAAGACGAUCAGAUACCGUCGUAGU
rnacentral:rRNA from 1 species